rnacentral:rRNA from 1 species
AUACGGAGGGUGCAAGCGUUAAUCGGAAUUACUGGGCGUAAAGCGUACGUAGGCGGUUCGUUAAGUUAGAUGUGAAAGCCCCGGGCUUAACCUGGGAACUGCAUUUAAAACUGGCGAACUAGAGUUGAGUAGAGGGGAGUGGAAUUUCAGGUGUAGCGGUGAAAUGCGUAGAGAUCUGAAGGAACACCAGUGGCGAAGGCGACUCCCUGGACUCGAACUGACGCUGAGGUACGAAAGCGUGGGUAGCAAACGGGAUUAGAAACCCUUGUAGUCC